AGUUCAUUUUUUGUCACGUUACGAUAUUUCUCCCGUUUCCCCUUUUGCCCUCGCACUCGCUCUCUCGUCGACCACACGCUCUCUCCCCGACGACCACUCGCUCCUCCCCGCCCAGAUCCCUCGCGCCGCCGGCCAGUCGCCGCCCUCUCCCUCUCGUCGGUUUCUUCCUCACUGCAGCCUUGCUCCUCACCACCCCUAAAACUAGCAACCCGUCUCCCCCUCGUCGGUCAAAGGUGAAAUUUUUACCAGCCGGGGUGCUCGAUCUGUGGGCGGCGGUGCUCGAUCCGUGCUGGAGCAGCGGGAGGAGGAGGGCAGUGCUGGAUUGGAGCAGCGGUGCUGGACCGGAGCAGCGGGAGGAGGGCGGUGGUGCCGGCCGCUCUUACUUUGUGUAGUCCACUUCGCUCUCGUCAUGUCGUCGUCGCCGCCGCUGCCGAGGAAGAUGGAGAGCCCGUCGGAGGGAGGAGCGCCAUGGCCAGUUCUGACCUCCUCCGUCCAGAUCCAGCUCCAGCAAUCAUCCCCUCCUGCUGCUUGCUCUCUCAAUUUCAAGACUGAAGAAGAGAACAUGGGGAGCAGCAGCUGUCCUCUGCUCUGCUCUUAUGCGAAUGCUCUACUGCAGGACCGUGGCAGCGAUGCUCGCUGAAGCGGACGACAACCACUCCCGUGCAAACAAAGGUGAGCAUUCAGGAAAAGAACACUUGGCUAAACUUCAGGAAAAGGAUGCACCGAAUCUUAGUGGAGUGAAGUUGAGGUCUGGGAGAUCCAUUUUGUCCUGAAGAUAUGAAUACGCAAGAUGAAGAAGAAGAAUAAGUACAAGUAGAAGUAGAAGUACAAGUAGAAGUAGAAGAACAAGAAGAACAAGUAGAAGAAGAAGAAGUAGAAGAACAAGUAGAAGUAGUAGUAGAAGAACAAGAAGAACAAGUAGUAGUAGUAGUAGUAGAAGUAGUAGUAGUAGAAGUAGUAGUAGAAGUAGUAGUAGUAGUAGUAAUAGUAGAAGUACAAGUACAAGAACAAGAACAAGUUGUAGUAGUAGUAGUAGUAGUAGUAGACGAAGAACAAUUCAGUAUAUUUUGAGUAGUACUACUGCCUGAUCUAACCCACAAUACACAGACCAAAAAUAAAUGUUUGAAUGUGUUGCUGGUUUGCUGGAAUUCAAGUCUGGAUCGAUGAGCUACAUCCCCCUAUUUUCAUUUGUUUUUAGAGGGCUUUAUGAUCCUGACAGACUUUGUUGUGCAUCAUGACUUUGUUGCAACAGAAUUUUACUGUAGGUUUUACUAAUUGCUGGAAUUCAAGCAUGUUUCAGAAUGCUCCUAGCUCAGCAAAAGCAGGGAAAUAAUACUGAUUUUUGUUGUUGCUGUAGGUUUUACUAGUGCGAGUGAUCUUGACUUCCUUGCAGAGAGGACUAGAGAUAUGGGGUACUUCAGUGGUUCAUCUGCACUCCAGAUAACUUUCAGUUUUGUUGUUCAAAAUUCAGCACCGCCUUGCCAAACAGCAUUCUGCCACUAAAUGGCAGCAUAUGCAGGACCAACUAACAAUGUACGGAGACCAGCUAAACCUGGUAUCUUUUCCAGAUCAAGUUAGACCCUGGUUAUUGGAAAGUACUCACUUCAUUUCAAUUUCUAGAUGAUAUUCAGUUCUUUUUUCACAGCAAAACAUCUUUGCUUCAUUCUGAUAUCAGCAUAUUUCACAAGAUCUCAAAAUGACUGAAAAGGUCUUUACGAAUUGCAAGCAGGGAAGCAACCAAGAGCAUCCUAGCCGAAGUUGCAUGACCCAAUACUAACACCAGAAGUGAUCUCACAGAUGCAGAGCCACACUUAGUGCCAGAACUAACAUUGUUUUCUUGAGUACUUAAUCAUGGUCUGGAGUACUAGCAUGGAGUAAAUUUUUUGCAAGAGUACAAUUACAAGCAUGAGUACACUGAAUUUCUUGUAGCAGAUGGAGCACAUAAAAAUGGAGUAGCUCACCUACUGUUGAUCUGCUAAUUUGUCAAUUUUCUGCUCCUUGCUGAUCCUUGCUGCUCCUUGCUCCUUGCUGAUCCUUGCUCCUAUUGUUGAUUUGCUAGUUUUGACAGGUGAACAGAUGGACAAUGGCUGCUCCUUGCUGAUCAAUUCAAAAUUGCUCUGGCGAUCAAUUCAAGCUUGCUGUGACUGGCGAGAAGACAUCCUGGUCAAUCACCACAUCUGAUCAAUUUCUGUCUGUGGCGAGAAGAAGUGGUACAACUCCGGCGAUCAAUUUCUUUGGCGAUUAACAAUUUUGAUCAAUUCAAACAGCAACACAGGCAGCGCUACUGCUGCUGUUGGUCAGUGCGGGAAGGAGCACGGGCGGAGGUCAAUUGGCCGGAUCCGGAGCUCCAGUGCCUGAAUCGAGGAGCUGGAAGGCUGAGGCAGGAGGAGGAGGAGCACAGGCUGCGCUGCUGCUGCUGUUGGUCAGCGUGGGGAGGAGCACGGACGGAGGUCAAUUGGCCGGAUCCGGAGCUCCAGUGCCUGAAUCGAGGAGCUGGAAGGCUCAGGCAGGAGGAGGAGCACGGGCGGCGCUGCUGCUGGUCGGUGCGGGGAGGAGCACGGGCGGCGCGAAGGCCAGGAGUCGCGGGCGGUGCGACGGCCAGGAGUCGCGGGCGGCUGGAGGCUGUGGCGGACGGCGAGGGAGCUGCGUACGAGUUUGGGCUCUUGGUUGGAGCGGAGGAAGGCGGCCGGCGAGGGAGCUGCGGCCGGCGCGGACGGACGCCGGAGCUGCAGCAGUGGGGUGGAGCCUGGCGGAGGGGAGGAGCGACGGAGGAAGACGAAGAUCCCCGGCGACAAGAAUUUCAAAUUGAGGGUAGUUUGGUACUUUUUCCUGUUUUCACCUGGUCGGAGAAGUUCCUCAACGACAACUAUUUCGAAACAGAGGGAGUACGAAAUAAUAAUCUUAAACAACACUUUUUUCA